CACCAGCUUACGUGCUCAGGGCCACAGGUGUGGCUCCCCUGGAGCCAAAACAAUGCUUCAGGCUUGCUUAGCCCAGGACUCUGUGUUCCCACCUGCUGCCCAGUCCCCACCCCAGCAUGCCUGGCUGCUCCCCAGGAAACAGGGCAAACAAGCUUCCAUUGAUUCCCUUCACGGCUAGGAGAAUACGCCUUUGUUGAGUUCCACACUUCUUCCCCCAGUGUCCAUGCCCACAGGACAGGUGUUCAGGUGAACCAGCCCUUGACCAGUUUCUGGAACACAACCUUGGCACCUGUCAGCUCUCCUGAGGGUAGAAGAUCUUCCUUGUGCCUGAGGCAUGGGACAACACGGUGUCACUGACUUCUGUGGGUGGUACUAGGCUGGGGACUGAGUGACCCAUGCAGGCCCUGCGUUCCUGUGUGAUAUCCCUUGAUCAAACACCCUGACACUGAGGCUAGGGGUGCUCCUCUGGUUUGCCACACUUUGUCCACAUUUGCACACCCAUAUUUGGAGAAUCCAUUGGAGGACAAUGGGAACACGAGCCCAGUUUCCUCUGGAGUUAUCCAGGUCCCAACCAGGCCCAACCUCACACAGGCUGCAGCAAUACAGUCUUUCCCACUGGUGCCUUUUGCUGGGGCUGGCUGUGCUCAGCUGGUCAGGGCUCCCCACGAGCACCAGCUGUCUCCUGUGACAGCUCCUCAGGAGGACUGCAGCCAGCCCCCUCUUCACUUCCCCAGCUCCUUCUUCAUUGUAUGGGACCUAACUCCUACAUCACCCUAAACCCAUCCAUACAAACCAAAUGGAUCUCAUCUCCCUCAUUAUUCUCUUGGCUUUUGUUGUUUGUUCAUUUUGAGACAAAUCUACUCAGUUUUUCAUCUGAUUUCUUGCUUCUUGAAACUUUCUCUCCCGGGCUCUCCUGUUCUCCCUGCCUGUGUAUUUCAUUAUAACAACAAUGAGGUUUUGAUGUGGAGAAAAACCCCAUUUGUUCAGUCCACCAUCUUAACUCAGCGGUCUCUACACUGUCCUCAUUCUUGUGGAAUAAGUGUUAUGUUCCCUAAAUGC
rnacentral:lncRNA from 1 species